rnacentral:rRNA from 1 species
ACAAGGUUUCCGUAGGUGAACCUGCGGAAGGAUCAUUAGUGAAUAAUGGAGACUCCUUGUGAGCUCCAGACCCUCACAUCCAAACACUGUGCACUGUUGAUGAAAGCCUUCUCUAAUCAGAGAGGUUACUAGUCUUUUUUAACAAACACAAGUCAUUGUAUGGUUAUUUUUAUAAUAAAAUAAAACUUUCAACAACGGAUCUCUUGGCUCCCACAUCGAUGAAGAACGCAGCGAAAUGCGAUAAGUAAUGUGAAUUGCAGAACUCAGUGAAUCAUCGAAUCUUUGAACGCAUCUUGCGCUCCUUGGUAUUCCUUGGAGCAUGUCUGUCUGAGUGUCAUGAAAUUCUCAACCUUCUAUGGUUUGCUAGUCAGACCUUGGGAGGCUUGGAUCAUGGGUGUCUGCUGGAGACCUUGUGUCAUCAGCUCACCCUAAAUGUAUCAGUGGCACCGCUUAGCUUGGUGGCUUGACCUGAUGUGAUAGACUUAUCAUCAGGGAUCUCCUUUGUGGAGGGCCUCAGCUGAUGCAAUAGCUGCUUCUAACUCUUGAUGACUUUUGUUAUCAAUCUGUGUCUUAGACCUCAGAUCAGGCAGGACUACCCGCUGAAC